AGUGACACUGUUCAACGGCCGCGGUAUCCUAACCGUGCGAAGGUAGCGUAAUCACUUGUCCUUUAAAUGGGGACUAGUAUGAAUGGCACCACGAGGGUUAUACUGUCUCCUUUUUCCAGUCAGUGAAACUAAUCUCCCCGUGAAGAAGCGRGGAUACACCUAUUAGACGAGAAGACCCUAUGGAGCUUUAAACGAAACAACAUUUGCUUUAACACACACUGAUCUCAGGAAAUCAACCCUAUUUAGCAUUAUAACUGUUAGUUUUAGGUUGGKGWGACCGCGGAGAAAAAAAUAACCUCCACGAUKMAUAGGRGCCUCCCCUAAGCWAAAAGCCACAACUUCAUGCAUCAACAAAUUGACAUCAAUUGACCCAAUAUUUUGAUCAACGGAACARGUUACCCUAGGGAUAACAGCGCAAUCCACUUCGAGAGCMCGUAUCGACMAGUGGRUUUACGACCUCGAUSUUGGAUCAGGGUACCCCAGUGGUGCAGCCGCUACUWAA
rnacentral:rRNA from 1 species